UACGAAGGGGGCUAGCGUUGCUCGGAUUGACUGGGCGUAAAGGGCUCGUAGGCGGCCAACUAAGUCAUACGUGAAAUCCCUCGGCUUAACCGGGGAACUGCGUCUGAUACUGGAUGGCUUGAGUUCGGGAGAGGGAUGCGGAAUUCCAGGUGUAGCGGUGAAAUGCGUAGAUAUCUGGAGGAACACCGGUGGCGAAGGCGGCAUCCUGGACCAACACUGACGCUGAGGAGCGAAAGCCAGGGGAGCAAACGGG
rnacentral:rRNA from 1 species